rnacentral:rRNA from 1 species
GAUGAACGCUGGCGGCGUGCCUAAUACAUGCAAGUCGAGCGAACAGUCCAGGUGCUUGCUCCUUCGACGUUAUCGGCGGACGGGUGAGUAACACGUAGUUAACCUACCUAUCAGACUGGGAUAACUUCGGGAAACCGUAGCUAAUACCGGAUAAUAUUUCGACCUGCAUGGUUCGAUAGUUAAAGAUGGCUUUUCUAUCACUUAUAGAUUGCCCAGCGCCGUAUUAGCUAGUUGGGAAGGUAACGGCUUAACAAGGCAACGAUACGUAGCCGACCCGAGAGGGUGGACGCAAACAUUGGAAGUGAGACACGGUCCAGACACCGACGGUAGGAAGCAGUAGGGAAUCUUACGGAAUGGGCGAAAGGCUGAUGGAGCAAAGCCGCGUGAGGGAUGAAGGUCUUAGGAUCGUAAAACUCUGUUAUUAGGGAAGAACAAAAGUGUAAUUAACUGGGAACGUAAUGACGGUACCGAAACAGAAAGCCACGGCUAACUACGUG